CCAGAAUGUGGAGCGUGUGUUGUUCACUGUCAUUCAAGGAGCAGUGGAUUACCCAGAUCCUAUUGCACAGAAGACUUGCUUUAUUAUUCUUUCUAAGCUGGUGGAGCUGUGGGGAGGCAAAGAUGGACCAGUGGGUUUUGCAGACUUUGUCUACAAACACAUUGUCCCCGCAUGUUUCUUAGCACCUUUAAAGCAAACGUUUGACUUGGCAGAUGCCCAGACAGUAUUGGCUUUAUCAGAAUGUGCAGUGACAUUAAAAACAAUUCAUCUCAAAAGGGGUCCUGAAUGCAUUCAGUAUCUUCAGCAAGAGUAUCUGCCUUCUUUGCAAGUAGCUCCAGAAAUAAUUCAGGAAUUCUGUCAAGCACUUCAGCAGCCUGAUGCUAAAGUGUUCAAAAAUUACUUAAAGGUAUUCUUCCAGAGAGCAAAGCCCUAAGGGAAGUACUGGAAUUUCAUGUAUCUCUUUCCAUGAUUAGGAACUCUGGUUGUUAAUUUAUGAAAAUGUUAACUUUUGUGCCAUUCAGACUGGUCUUGUUUUCAUUUUUAAAUGUUGCUUUGUGCUCACAUCAGUACAUGUUCUAGCUUUUGCAUUAAAAAAA